rnacentral:rRNA from 1 species
UACGGAAGGCAGCAGUGGGGAAUAUUGCACAAUGGGCGCAAGCCUGAUGCAGCCAUGCCGCGUGUAUGAAAAAGGCCUUCGGGUUGUAAAGUACUUUCAGUCGUGAGGAAGGUGUUAAGGUUAAUAACCUUAGCAAUUGACGUUAGCGACAGAAGAAGCACCGGCUAACUCCGUGCCAGCAGCCGCGGUAAUACGGAGGGUGCGAGCGUUAAUCGGAAUUACUGGGCGUAAAGGGCACGCAGGCGGUUAAUUAAGUUGGAUGUGAAAUCCCCGGGCUUAACCUGGGAAUGGCAUUCAAGACUGGUUAGCUAGAGUCUUGUAGAGGGGGUAGAAUUCCAUGUGUAGCGGUGAAAUGCGUAGAGAUGUGGAGGAAUACCGGUGGCGAAGGCGGCCCCUGGACAAAGACUGACGCUCAUGUGCGAAAGCGUGGGGAGCGAAACAGGGAUUAGAUA